GACGAACGCUGGCGGCGCGCCUAAUACAUGCAAGUCGAACGAACUAGUUUACUAGUUAGUGGCGAACGGGUGAGUAACACGUAGAUAACCUGCCUUUAACACAAGGAUAACUUUGGGAAACUGGAGCUAAUACUUGAUAGGAUAUCAUGAGGAAUCUUAAGAUAUUUAAAGACUAGACGGUUAAAGAGGGGUCUGCGGCGCAUUAGCUAGUUGGUGAGGUAAAAGCUUACCAAGGUAAUGAUGCGUAGCCGGACUGAGAGGUUGGCCGGCCACAUUGGGACUGAGAACGGCCCAAACUCCUACGGGAGGCAGCAGUAGGGAAUUUUCGGCAAUGGGGGGAACCCUGACCGAGCGACGCCGCGUGAAUGAAGAAGUUCUUCGGAAUGUAAAGUUCUUUUAUGUGGGAAGAAAAAGCAAUUAUUGACGGUACCACAUGAAUAAGCCCCGGCUAACUAUGUGCCAGCAGCCGCGGUAAUACAUAGGGGGCGAGCGUUAUCCGGAUUUACUGGGCGUAAAGGGUGCGUAGGUUGUUAUUUAAGUUUCUGGUAUAAGCAAAGCGCUCAACGCUUUGAGGCUAGGAAAACUGGAUAGCUAGAGUAAGACAGAGGCAAGUGGAAUUCCAUGUGUAGCGGUAAAAUGCGUAAAUAUAUGGAGGAACACCAGUGGCGAAGGCGGCUUGCUGGGUCUUGACUGACGCUGAUGCACGAAAGCGUGGGGAGCAAACAGG
rnacentral:rRNA from 1 species